AGAAGAGUGCGUUCAGGAUGGAAGAAUUAGGGAGAGGGACAGAGGAAACGACAGCGGAGCCAGAGGAGGGAAGCCAGAGUGAGGAAGUAAUCGCCACAGACAACCGCAGACGGAGAAAACAGACAGAGGCCGAGUGUGGACUUCAGUGGAGAGAGUCCACCACGCUGCUGAGGAGCAGAACCUCCUGGGUCAACACAACAGCCCGGAGCUACCAAGAAGACGUUGCGAAGUGUUGGGAGUGAGAAGCGGCCUUUGUGGAGUUGCGUGGGGGAGGAUGCCAUAAGAGACACGAGGAGGGGUAGGAAUUCGUUCCCCCCUUCUUCUCAGCUGGUGCUGGCCACUGCUGAACCAUAUAAAGGAGCGAACACUGAGAGCAACAGACAGUAGACGGAGAGCCGGCGGACUGAAAGAAGGGAUUUCAAGGACAGUGACCGAGACGUAUUAAGGCUUGGCCAUUGACUCUCACUAGAUGUUUUAUCAUAGAUGAUUUAGAACCCCUUUUCCUAUUUAGGUCUUUUAACUGUUUAUUUUUGUUUAACUUAGUAAAUAUGGCUUUCGGUGGGUAAUAUAAACAGUACUGGUUUGAGCCUGUUCCCCUGCAGAAUCCAUAUUUCAUAUUUGAGGCCCCCCGGUAGACGGGAAGGGUGUCACAUUAGUGAGCUCAUUAAUCAGACCCUUUUUCAGGACUUCCCCAUGCAGACCAAUGUGUUAUGUCAUGAUGUUGAUGUGUGUGUUCAUCAACCCAUAAAACAGCAUGCCUAUCAUGUCAAUCCGACAAAACGUGCCUUAAUGCAGCAGGAGGUAAAAUAUCUCCUUGACCACGGUUGCGCUGUCUCAAGUAGUAGUUCUUGGAGUUCCCCUUCACUUCUUGUCCCUGACUAGACCCCGUGUUCCUGUAAUGAUUAUAGAAAAGUCAAUGCUGUUACUAAACCAGAUUCUUUUCCACUCCCAUGCAUGGAUAAACAAACAAACAGCUAGUCAAUUGUGUUUGUAGGGCAUGGAGCCUCCCUGAAGUGGCAGACCAGUCUCUUGCCUGCACAAUGGAGGAAAGCUGCCUUGCCUCUUUCUUUUAUAUGCUAGAAAAGCUUUUUUUAUGUACAUGACCGAAGUUUUGUUUCAAAGACUAUGUUAAUGUUAGCUUAUAUGAAAGUGUUAUUGGGUGUGAGGAGCUAACUGGUUCUGUUAGAUCAGUUUUUAACAGACUGUGUGUCACUUGGUGUAAAUAUUAUUUAUUGUAAAUAUUUAGUUUUUUUGUGUUCUUUCCUCCGGAGAGAAACUUUUGCUGUCAUUGUAAAUAGCUAUGUGUUUGUUUGCUUUACAGUUAAAUUAACAGUUUGGUUUCUGUUGAACUAAUUGACUUUGCUUUUGUUUGACAAAAACAGUUAUUGUCUCAGGCCAGUCUGUAUGUUUUGAAUGGAAUGCAUGUUGUGAAAAGCCUUUAAAAAAGGAAAUGGUAAAAUAAAAUGAAUUGUGUUCUGAUUA